rnacentral:tRNA from 1 species
AUGGGUGAAGUGUUAUGGUAGCACGGCAGUCUCCAAAACUGCAAGCGGGGGUUCGACUCCCUCCACCUAUGCCA